rnacentral:rRNA from 1 species
CAGCCCCGGUAAUACCGGCGGCCCGAGUGGCGGUCACUAUUAUUGGGCUUAAAGCGUCCGUAGCCGGGUUGGGAAGUCCUCCGGGGAAUCUGGCCGCUUAACGGUCAGAAUGCCAGAGGAUACUCCCAGCCUAGGGAGCGGGAGAGGCCGAGGGGAUUUCCGGAGUAGGGGUGGAAUCCUAUAAUCCCGGGAGGACCACCUGUGGCGAAGGCGCUCGGCUGGAACGCGUCCGACGGUGAGGGACGAAGGCCAGGGGAGCAAACCGGAUUAGAUACCCGGGUAGUCCUGGCUGUAAACGAUGCGGACUUUGUGUCGGACAAGCUAUGAGCUUGUCCGGUGCCGGAGGGAAACCGUUAAGUCCGCCGCCUGGGGAGUACGGCCGCAAGGCUGAAACUUAAAGGAAUUGGCGGG